UUCAAGGCUGGGCAGAACAUUGCAAGCUCCUGAGCCCCGAACUUCAGCAUGCAUAAGGAUGGCCCUAUAAGCGUAGCGAAACUGCGCAGAGGAUGGGUUGUUAUUCCAUCCUCCACGUUGACGGAUGCAGCUGAAUAGGAGCUCCAAGUGAUCUUGACUCAGCCUGUAGGUGCAGAUGUACCUGUGCAUUGGGAGGCAUCUCGGUCAAAGAGCAUCUCUGCAAGUUCAGCGACACUUUUCAAUGAAAAUGCCAGGCUUAAGACGGACAUCCGCCUCCCAUCCAAGACUGCAAGUUUCCCCGACGGCAAAACAAGUGACAUGAGCUUUCUAGACAUUGCAAGCAUGGUUGUCUUUUGAGAGGAGAAGGACCCUUUGCGGAGGGGAGCCUUGAAAUUUUCGGCUCGUGGACUAUGUGAGUUGAGGAGGUCAAAGGCUCUGCAAAAGUUUUCGCUGGGAGGCAAGAAGUUAAGAAGCCAAGCUAUUUCUGGUUACCGUCUGGUCUGCAUGCACUGCAGUGCCCUGU